rnacentral:lncRNA from 1 species
ACUUUUACCGAAGGCCUUCCAUGUGUCUAACUGCAGUUCUCUCUGUUGCAAGUUAAGCCGGAACUGAAAGACCAGAAACCAGCCUGCCCUAGUCAAAGAAAGUUAGGGCCCAACCAGCCUCUCCCCAAGAAGCAGGGUAAGGUGGGGCAUUCAUCUCUCUGGACCCUUUUCCCCAGCCUGAGCCAGCCUUUGGGUGAGUUUCCUGCUAUUGGGAAAAUUCCUCCUCCAGUCUAACUAUGAUCACUUACAGUGAAGUUCAUUUCUGCCUCUCAGGGUCUCCCAUUUCUCUGGAGAAACCAGAAGCACAGAGAGGCCUGGGACAGAGCCUUCGGUUAGCAGGGUCCUGCCUGAUUCUGGCCCCAAAGGGCGUGGGAGAAGAAGGGAGGGAGGGGAGACCCAACCCAGAUCCAGCAGUUCUCUGCCCUGGCUCAGCAGUGGGGCCAGGCUGCAGGUUUCAAGCCCAACUCAGCACUCUUGUAGGUGCCAAUUUUAGCCUCUGCCACUAUUUUUGGGCUCCACUACCUCACCACUGGCUGAGCUGGUUGGGCUCCUCACCCCCAGCACUACCCCCACACUGCCCCUCCGGCUUCCCCUCCUUCCUAGCAACUCCUUCACCUCCUUCUUCACCCAUUCCCCUGUUUAGAAUCCUUAAAUAGCAAAGACCAGGAAAAAGGAAGAGGAAAUAAACCGUGCCCAGUUCAGGCUGGAUGGACAUUAGAAAGCAGGAAGGACUUCCCCAGGGCCACAGCUUGUUCUUCCUGGCUUGCACCUGCCAAGUAUACCUACGGGGAGGGUGUAGGAACUCCCCCAAACCAAGAGGCCUGAGGCUCCUGGCCCCAGAACUCCAGACUCACCUCCCCUGAGGUGGGCAGCCAAGACUCAGGAAUGUACUAAAUUUAAAAACAGACAGCCAGAGGCUAGAAUCUUGGCCUCAAGGUUCCACCCACUGGAGGCCCAGAGACAAGAUCUGGGGUGGGACCUCAGCUUCUCUCCCAGGCCUGGGGCAGGAGGGUGCUGCAAGCUAUGGAUAGAAUCUUAAAGGGCCACACUCCAGCCUGGGUACCCAGGAAACAUAGAAUUUGAACCCUGGGGUUUUUCAAGCGACCUCAUGGUCCCUCAACUCAACUAAGAAGGUCUCUAUGAAAGAAGAGGACCCGACCCUCCAACUCUUUUCUGUCUCCCACCCCAACCUUCAGUCUACUUUCCAUCCCACCUGCUGUUACCCUACCCCUCACCCUAUGCCCUCUUCUUCCCCUUAGGAGAUGAAUAACAAGGAAAGGGACUAGGGACAGGGAAAAGAAAAGUGUUCUGCCUUUAAAAACACCUGUGUUUAGUGAGCUUGGCCUGCAGCUUGACUCAGUUUCCGUUUUCUAUAUCCUCUUGAACAAUGAACACUUUUCCCUUCUCCUUGGUGUCACCUGCCCCCCUUUUCCAAGACCCUUCUUCAUUCCAGCGCCCCCUCUACUCCUAUCCAGUGAUAUCUUCCAGAUUUUCAGAAAUAAUUUUUUAGAUACACAGAAACAAACAUUUCUACCAGGAUCUAAAAAUAGCCAUCACCUUCUUUAGCCCAUUUAACUUGACGAAAUGUGUCCCUCCCAUUUCAGGGGUAGGGAGGAGGUCCCAGGGAAGAACCUGGUUGCCAAAGUCUCGGCCAGUUGGAGAAGAGAUGGGUCUCCCGAGGAUACCCAAGCCCAAGCUCUACACUGUCCCAAGAGUCUCUGCCCUCAUUCCCCUUCACCAGGUUGCUCAACCCUCCAUCAGACUGUUAGGUCAAGGGUGGACAAACAGACCAACCGGGAUCUGGAUGGCCCCUGGGCAGUACUGACUUCCCCUACCAUUCCCAUGGCAAGAAAAGGGAGUGAUUCCACUAGCAGACUCCCCUACCCUGCAGUGAGACAGCCUGUAGGAAGGUGAGACUCAGACCCCAAGGUUUCUGCUUUUGCUUUGUUCCUUCGAGAUCUCCAUUCCCCCAUGGGAGAGAAACCUCUCUGUCCCACCUGCCCUCCCCUCCCAUCAGCUUUCAGAUUCUCCAGCUGCUCCUCUUCUGAGACUCACCCAGUCUCAUGCCUCCAUUAGCCUCAACUCCCGACCCAUGGCCUGUGGUGAGAGGUGCUAACAACAUGACCUGCUUUCAUCUUGACCUUCCCAGCCCACCCAGAGAAAAGGGAAUCUUGGCUAAAAAAAGGCUGGAAGAGGGGAGAACCCUGGCACUGCGGGUGGGGCUGGGAGGAGCCCAGGCAACCUUACUGGUGAGAAUCUCAUGGCUCUUCAAGGUGAAUAUGAUGAUGAUUUCCCUGGGGUUUCUUUCAAUACUCAGAAGCCGCCCCGAGUUGGAAAGCACAUGCAUACUUGGGGAGGCCAGGGGAGGAAAAGGGGGGCGGCUCACUCUGACAGUAAAUGAAGAAAGUGGAAACAAAUUCAAGGAGCAGGCAGAGCUCCCGGUUUCACCAGAGCCCAACGGUUGGUAAUAAGGAUGAGAACAAUGUGCCUUCACUUCCUGGGAUCAGAACAGCACAUGGCCGCACAUGUACGGGUAUGCAUGUGCUUCCAUAAUCAUAUACUUUCCCAGCUUCUACUCUGCCUGUGGUCUAAUUUCAACUCCUUCAGCUGCUGUACCCACCCAUAAAAUUAUGAGUGUAAAAGCACUUUGCAAACCCUGAUACUCUAUGAAGAAGUAAAAAGUAGUGCUGUAAUUAUUAUCAUUAUUAUGUCCAAUGGUUGAGGUUUCCGCUGCCCACCUGUCAGCUAUGUGAGGCCUAAAGAGAGGGAGGGCUAGGCCAUUCCUCAGCUUCUGAGGUUCCUGGCCCUUUUCCCCUUCCAUCUGUCCACAGCUGACUGCUAAGCUGGAUGCGUAGGGGAAAGCAGAGAAAAGGUGAUUUACUGGGACACAGAGACACAGGCUGGAAGAGAUAGCAUGUGUUUCCUUAAAAUUUGAAGCAUUUGGCUGGGCACAGUGGCUCACACCUGUAAUCCCUGCACUUUGGGAGGUAAAGGCAAGAGGAUUUCCUGGGCCCAAGAGUUAGAGGCUGCAGUGAGCUAUGAUUGUGCCAUUGUACUCCAGCCUGGGAGACAGAAACCCCCUCUCUUAAAAAAAUAAAAAAAUAAAAAAUGGAACCAUUGCUCUGAGUUUCUAAUAGGGGGAGU